GGCCCUAAGCUCUCAACACCUCCCCCUCCCCUCCUCGUCCCGUCCCCCCACCCCCAAAUCCGAGGGGUGAGGGAAGGGUGCGGGGAGGGGGCUGAUCUUCUUUUGUCUCCCAACAGGAGGACGGACCCCUCGACUGCCGCCUCUGCAUUGGACACCCACGAGUCACAGCUCUCAGUCUGGAUUUGAUGAGUCCUUGGUGCACUUUGUCCACACCCCUCCCUCCAGCCUCCAGCACUGGCUGGGGCUCAGCGGAGGUCCAGCCUCCCACCUCACCUCUGCCCUGGACUCUGGCCGCAUGGCAGCAGCGAGCCCAAGAUGGCAGGUGCCGAAGUGCCCCACCAGGAAGAGCGGCAGACUCAGAAGAUGGUGACCGCUGACUGGCUACCGAACUGGAUCGACAACCCAGCAACCAGUGACAGGCCACAGAGGAUUGCUACCGGUGGGACUGCCAGGGAGUGGGAAGGUGGGGACUGACUCUGUCUACCGGGGAUAGGAAGAUGCAAGUGAGAAAAGAGAUAAAACCCAGAUCUGCAGGCAACAGGCGCUCAGCACCUGGAUCUAUGAGUAUAUGCUGAGACCUCCAGGGAGGGAGUGGGAAUAAAGACUACUGACGUACCCCGAA